CGAGGCAUUGCAACCGCGUUGAGCAGCUGAAAUACAUGAUUGCUCUAUGUUCGGCUCUACGCCUCGAGGUGUAAUCUGUUGCAAGAUGGCGGGCGCUGCAAGUUUGCUGCUCAGAGGAACUAUAUCCUGUCUCCGUCAACGUCUCCGUCGACAUCUCUCUCACAAGUCCCUCUCAUCAAGUCUCUCACUCUCAUCAAGUCUCUCUCAUCAAUGAAUUGGUGUCUAAAUUAAUUGUGCAUGGGUAUGUUUUCCUAAUUGGUCUGUAAGGGGGUUGUGCAUUCCCUUGUAAGGGGUUUAGUUCUCUAAGUAGGUUGUAUAUAUGCCUCUCUCUCUAAGGGGACUAGGUUGUACUGAUGCCUCUCUCUAAGUAGGUUUGUUUGGUUGUGCAUUCCUCUGUAAGGGAGUUUAGUUGUGUAUGCCUCUCUAAGGGGGUUGUACUGAUGCCUCUCUCUAAGGGGACUAGGUUGUACUGAUGCCUCUCUAAGGAGGUUUGUUUGGUUGUGCAUUCCUCUGUAAGGGAGUUUAGUUGUGUAUACCUCUCUCUAAGGGGGUUGUACUGAUGCCUCUCUCUAAGGGGACUAGGUUGUACUGAUGCCUCUCUCUAAGGGGGCUUGGUUGUACUGAUGCCUCUCUCUAAGGGGACUAGGUUGUACUGAUGCCUCUCUCUAAGGAGGUGGUUGUGAUUCCUCUGCAAGGGGGUUUGCCUCUAAGGUGGUUUGGCUGUGUAAUGCCUCUGUGCAUGGUUGUACCUCUGUAUGGGGGUUUGGUUUGGGUUUGUUGUCUCCAUUGGUGGUUGGAACGGUCAUGGAAUAGCACUGGUGGGCUGGAUGCUUCGGACUGCAGGUAGCUUGUAGCCCCUCGUGUAGAGUGGUCUAUUCGACUGCAGAUAGCAUUGUCUGGCCAGCUCAACUCCUUCGUCUGUAACCGUCGAGACCUCCUACCGCUCUUCACGACCCUGCAGCUGAGGUACCAUCAUACUAUCUAUAUCUGCAUGCCCCCCUCCAAAGCCAUUGCAUUGCCUCGCCUGUGUUAAUUAGGUUAGGCCAAUUUGUUUGUGUUUCUACACUUGUAGCUUGAUUUGUUAGGUAUAGAUAGAUAGCUUUUUUUUUCUUUUCACAUAAUCUUGCACCAGCCAGAUUAUCAGAUCCAUGAGCAUUAGUAUAGAUCUAAUACCCUCAAAGUGAGGGUAAUGAUUCAUAUAUACUAUACUCUUUUUGUGUAAUCACUGUGUUUGUUUUUUUUUGUUCGUUAUCAGACCAAAUUCUCCCUUAGGCCAAUUAGUGGUUGUAGUUCUGCACAGCCACUGUGUGGUUGUGCAGUUUAAUUUUUCUUUGUGUACUUACAUUUAUAUAAAUAUCCCUACAUACUCGUUAUAGAAGUUAUAAGAAUCAGGCUUUAUCACAAUUAAAUGCAUGCAAGAUUAUUAGAACCACCUUAAUAUAACCAAAAAAAAAAACCGGGUAACACCACCAAAAAAACCUUUUUUUGUUUUAGAGUAAGAGCUUUCAUUCGUGCAUACUUUACUUACUUUGUGUUCAAUCUUGUUUGUGCUUUUUUAGGAUAGUUUAGUUUUUUUUUUUCUGUUCUAUGUUUGUCUUGUCGGCGAGGCUUGUAUGCAAUUGGUGGCGGGUGGUGGUGGCCUCUGCAAUGAUCACGCACACACAUGACUAGUCACCACAGAGGGGAUACCUAAUCCCGGGGUCAAUGCUAGGCUCUACACUCAUUCUUACCAAUGGCUGCAAAGCCAACUGAACUCAGGCAGUCCAGCUCAGAGCGAGCUCUUGUACUAACCAAUGGCUGCAAAGCCAACUGUCCUGCUCAGAGCGAGCUUAUCUAACCAAUGGCAGGAGCACAAAUGAAGUGCCUAUUGCCCAAUUCAAAGCCUCUUACUGAAUGUUGGCUAAUAGAUCAGACUACUCCCAACAAAGGAGAAUGUCACUUAACCAAUGACAAUGACAAUGGCACAAUAUGCCUGAAAGCCUUAAUCAAGAGUUGCUGCAUUGACCCCAGUGGUGUACUUAUCAUGCAAUAUAUGAUGUGUCAUGCAAUGUGUAUCACCAUUAUGAUGCAACAUGAGUAUAUUGUAGUCAGUAACUGCCUGCAUGAUUGAGUUACCUAUAUCAUCACUGAUCAUCGUAACAGUGACUCAGAUUUGAACCCCUCCUAACCAGCACUCUCAGUGUUGCUCAGAGCGAACUUAGGCUAUUAACAGCACAAAUCAAGUGCCUGUUAUAAUUUUAACUGACUAAGUGUGUUGCCACUUUAAGCUCUGGAACUAUGCUCUCUAUAAUCAUAUAGAUCUAGCAGCAUUGCAGCAGUGGGUCAAAGCACCAACUGUCGGCUGUGGUUGCUACCAUGGCAACACUCUGUGUCAUACAUAUAAUUAUAAUUGUACUUAUCCACUCUCUGUAUAUCUUUUACAAGAACAGAUGAUCACAUGAGCAACAGAGCUGCUUAGUUGGGAAAACACUGCAUACUGCCAGUGACAGGAAGAAGAGCACGGCACCUGUCUUGGCCUAGCUGUGUCAAGAUCAAUAUGCCCCAGGGCACUGUACUGUGUCUUGUCUGUUGCUUGCUUGUAUGCAGCCCAUGCUGGCUAACCAGUGUCAUGUACAUGGUUGUGUGCAUGUGCAAUACUUUUUCCACAGGUUGCCAUGUUAACAAAUAGUUAGCCUAACCUGUAUUGAUUUGCUUUCAGCUCAUAUGCCUCUGAAGGUUCAGUUCGUGAGCCUAUCUCUCCAGUACGUGCACGUAGUGAUGGUGGCCGCUGUGACCCGUCAAUUGCAAACCAGUUCAUCCACUAUACUAUCAGGUUCCAAUCGUGUACUUUGUAUUAUCGUGUUUCUUUACGCUUACCUGUGAAUGGUCAUGUGUGUACUUCUAGUACAAGCCCCUCAAGAACCAAUAGUAAGCUCCAUUGUGUACUUUGUAACCUCUUGAUUUCAGACCAGUAUGUGUGCGUACCUCAAUAACCAACAGUAAGCUCCAUUGUGUACUUUGUAACCUCUUGAUUGCAGACCAGUGUGUGUGCGUACCUCAAGAACCAACAGUAAGCUCCAUUGUGUACUUUAAUUUGUAACCUCUUGAUUUCAGACCUGUGUGUGUGCGUACCUCAAGAACCAACAGUAAGCUCCAUUGUGUACUUUGUAACCUCUUGAUUUCAGACCUGUGUGUGUGCGUACCUCAAGAACCAACAGUAAGCUCCAUUGUGUACUUUACCAGCAAUUAUUGCUGAAUCAGCUAAAACGCAGCCACGCCCACGAUUUUUAAUAUGUUUUGUGUGUAAAAAAUUAGUUUAGCUACUUAUCUUUUUUAGUUCUAAUUCCGGAGGUCUAAACCUUCCUUUAAGCUCAACAUUUUUAGUGCAGUAGGUAGUUCAAAGGUUUGUGCAGACUAUUCAAUCGGGAGGAAGCAUGGUACUCUAUGCAAAGUAAGUUAUUAGCUUUUACAUUUAAAAUUAACAGCUAGAAAACUACGUUUUUUGCAAAAUCUCACCUUUGGCUGAAUGAACAGCUCCCUCCCGAUUGAAUAGUCUGCACAAACCUUUGAACUACCUACUACACUAAAAAUUUAGAGCUGAAAGGAAGGUUUAGACCUCCGGAAUUAGAACUAAAAAAGAUAAGUAGCUAAACUAAUUUUUUACACACAAAACAUAUUAAAAAUCGUGGGCGUGGCUGCGUUUUAGCUGAUUCAGCAAUAAUUGCUGGUCCCAGUUGGUCCCAGUCCUUAACCUACCUGAGUGUGUGUGUGUGUGUGUGCGUACCUCAAGAACCAACAGUAAGCUCCAUUGUGUACUGUGUAACCUCUUGAUUUCAGACCAGUGUGUGUGCAUACCUCAAGAACCAACAGUGAGCUCCAUUGUGUACUUUGUAACCUCUUGAUUUCAGACCAGUGUGUGUGCGUACCUCAAGAACCAACAGUAAGCUCCAUUGUGUACUUUGUAACCUCUUGAUUUCAGACCUGUAUGUGUGCGUACCUCAAGAACCAACAGUAAGCUCCAUUGUGUACUUUGUAACCUCUUGAUUUCAGCCCUGUGUGUGUGCGUACCUCAAUAACCAACAGUAAGCUCCAUUGUGUACUUUGUAACCUCUUGAUUUCAGACCUGUGUGUGUGCGUACCUCAAGAACCAACAGUAAGUCCAUUGUGUACUUUUUAACCUCUUAAUUUCAGCCGUGUGUGUGCGUACCUCAAGAACCAACAGUAAGCUCCAUUGUGUACUUUGUAACCUCUUGAUUUCAGCCCUGUGUGCAUGUGUGUGCGUACCUCAAGAACCAACAGUAGGCUCCAUUGUGUACUUUGUAACCUCUUGAUUGCAGACCUGAGUGCGUGCGUACCUCAAUAACCAACAGUAAGCUCCAUUGUGUACUGUGUAACCUUUUGAUUUCAGACCAGUGUGUGUGCGUACCUCAAGAACCAACAGUAAGCUCCAUUGUGUACUUUGUAACCUCUUGAUUUCAGCCCUGUGUGUGUGCGUACCUCAAGAACCAACAGUAAGCUCCAUUGUGUACUUUGUAACCUCUUGAUUUCAGACCAGUGUGUGUGCGUACCUCAAGAACCAACAGUAAGCUCCAUUGUGUACUUUGUAACCUCUUGAUUGCAGACCUGUGUGUGUGCGUACCUCAAGAACCAACAGUAAGCUCCAUUGUGUACUUUGUAACCUCUUGAUUUCAGACCUGAGUGCGUGCGUACCUCAAUAACCAACAGUAAGCUCCAUUGUGUACUGUGUAACCUCUUGAUUUCAGACCAGUGUGUGUGCGUACCUCAAGAACCAAUAGUAAGCUCUAUUGUGUACUUUGUAACCUCUUGAUUUCAGACCAGUGUGUGUGCGUACCUCAAGCAUCAUCAGUAAGCUCCAUUGUGUACUUUGUAACCUCUUGAUUUCAGACCAGUGUGUGUGCGUACCUCAAGAACCAACAGUAAGCUCCAUUGUGUACUUUGUAACCUCUUGAUUUUAGACCAGUGUGUGUGCGUACCUCAAGAACCAACAGUAAGCUCCAUUGUGUACUUUGUAACCUCUUGAUUUCAGACCUGUGUGUGUGCGUACCUCAAGAACCAACAGUAAGCUCCAUUGUGUACUUUGUAACCUCUUGAUUUCAGACCAGUGUGUGUGCGUACCUCAAGAACCAACAGUAAGCUCCAUUGUGUACUUUGUAACCUCUUGAUUUCAGCCCUGUGUGUGUGCAUACCUCAAGAACCAACAGUAAGCUCCAUUGUGUACUUUGUAACCUCUUGAUUUCAGACCAGUGUGUGUGCGUACCUCAAGAACCAACAGUAGGCUUCAUUGUGUACUUUGUAACCUCUUGAUUUCAGACCAGUGUGUGUGCGUACCUCAAGAACCAACAGUAAGCUCCAUUGUGUACUGUGUAACCUCUUGAUUUCAGACCUGUGUGUGUGCGUACCUCAAGAACCAAUAGUAAGCUCUAUUGUGUACUUUGUAACCUCUUGAUUUCAGACCAGUGUGUGUGCGUACCUCAAGCACCAUCAGUAAGCUCCAUUGUGUACUUUGUAACCUCUUGAUUUCAGACCAGUGUGUGUGCGUACCUCAAGAACCAACAGUAAGCUCCAUUGUGUACUUUGUAACCUCUUGAUUUUAGACCAGUGUGUGUGCGUACCUCAAGAACCAACAGUAAGCUCCAUUGUGUACUUUGUAACCUCUUGAUUUCAGACCUGUGUGUGUGCGUACCUCAAGAACCAACAGUAAGCUCCAUUGUGUACUUUGUAACCUCUUGAUUUCAGCCCUGUGUGUGUGCAUACCUCAAGAACCAACAGUAAGCUCCAUUGUGUACUUUGUAACCUCUUGAUUUCAGACCAGUGUGUGUGCGUACCUCAAGAACCAACAGUAGGCUUCAUUGUGUACUUUGUAACCUCUUGAUUUCAGACCAGUGUGUGUGCGUACCUCAAGAACCAACAGUAAGCUCCAUUGUGUACUUUGUAACCUCUUGAUUUCAGACCAGUGUGUGUGCGUACCUCAAGAACCAAACACCCUGUGUGUGUGCGUACCUCAAUAACCAACAGUAAGCUCCAUUGUGUACUUUGUAACCUCUUGAUUUCAGACCAGUGUGUGUGCAUACCUCAAGAACCAACAACCAGUGUGUGUGCGUACCUGAAGAACCUACA